rnacentral:tRNA from 1 species
UUAGUUGAAGCUUUUAGAAGCAAAAUAUUGUUAAUAUUUAGAAGAAAAUCAUUUCCAAUUAAU